UACGGGGGGGGCAAGCGUUGUUCGGAAUUACUGGGCGUAAAGCGUGCGCAGGCGGCUUUGCAAGACAGAUGUGAAAUCCCCGGGCUUAACCUGGGAACUGCAUUUGUGACUGCAAGGCUAGAGUACGGUAGAGGGGGAUGGAAUUCCGCGUGUAGCAGUGAAAUGCGUAGAUAUGCGGAGGAACACCGAUGGCGAAGGCAAUCCCCUGGACCUGUACUGACGCUCAUGCACGAAAGCGUGGGGAGCAAACAGG
rnacentral:rRNA from 1 species